GACGAACGCUGGCGGCGUGCUUAACACAUGCAAGUCGAGCGGUAAGGCCCUUUCGGGGGUACACGAGCGGCGAACGGGUGAGUAACACGUGGGUGACCUGCCCUUAGCUCUGGGAUAAGCCUGGGAAACUGGGUCUAAUACCGGAUAUGACUCCAUGACGCAUGUUGUGGGGUGGAAAGCCUUGUGCGGCUAGGGAUGGGCCCGCUGCCUAUCAGCUUGUUGGUGGGGUGAUGGCCUACCAAGGCGACGACGGGUAGCCGGCCUGAGAGGGCGACCGGCCACACUGGGACUGAGACACGGCCCAGACUCCUACGGGAGGCAGCAGUGGGGAAUCUUGCGCAAUGGGCGAAAGCCUGACGCAGCGACGCCGCGUGGGGAUGACGGCCUCGG
rnacentral:rRNA from 1 species